UACGAAGGGGGCUAGCGUUGCUCGGAAUUACUGGGCGUAAAGCGCGCGUAGGCGGCUUUUCAAGUGAGGCGUGAAAGUCCUGGGCUCAACCUGGGGACGGCGCUUCAGACUGUCUGGCUCGAGUCCGGAAGAGGGUGGUGGAAUUCCGAGUGUAGAGGUGAAAUUCGUAGAUAUUCGGAGGAACACCGGUGGCGAAGGCGGCCACCUGGUCCGGUACUGACGCUCAAGUGCGAAAGCGUGGGGAGCAAACAGG
rnacentral:rRNA from 1 species